CCAUAACCCAACAAUUUACUUAAAUUUAAUACAUCACAAUAGGACAAUCUAGUAAAAUACACAAAAUUCAUAGCAACCCACAUUGCCAAUGUACAAUUUUUAUAGGGUUAGCAUCUUUCUUUAUAUUAAUUUUUUUUAAAGUAAGCUACUGUGUUCCAUUUACAAUAGCCAAAACGUACCGUCAUUUAGGCAGUUUAAAGAGAUCUAAUUAACACUUUUAAAACUAACUUCAUAGACCUUUUGGCACUUAGAAACAAAACAAAAGAUUCCAUAUCAUAUCAGCUGAAACACAGCACAGUAUAAACUGCCACUGGUAGAAAACAAAUAAAGUGUCCUUUCUUCUAAAUCACCACAUAGUCCAAAUAUGUACUGAUGGAAAAGGGCCAGCCUCACUCUACUGUGGCUAGUUCUUCCUCAGCCUGUCAAUUUUGGAAACAUUCUUGAAAUUAUUUCACAAAACAUUGAUGGCUUUUUUACCGUGUGUACUUAAAGAAGACACUUAUGAAAAUCGUACCUCCUUUCUUUACUUUGUUAAAUCUUAAUACAAUUAUUUCCCCACUUUCUUCUUGGCAGUGUAUAGCCUUUGGUAGCAUUACAACUCUAUGAAUGGGCUAUUCUGGCUGGAUUUUCAUUCUCAGCAACGGAGAGGCAAUAGCUUCUUGUAUAACAGAUGCCAUGAGAAAGAAUAAAUCAUUAAGAAAAGGAUAGUUGUGCCAAAGUCUUGUUCACACAAGAGAGUGUUGUUGCAUUUGCUUUUGCAAACUUUUGGUCUCUGCAGAUUGUGGUACAUUUCUACGUUAUAAAUUCCAGCUGCUUCUAGCAUCACAUAUUGUGCUCAAAAUUACAACCCCCACUCUCCAUAGCGGCCUUUUCUCCCCCACCAGCUCCUGAACUGUAUUAUUUCAAUCAGUUCUUGGCAAAGUAACUAGUGAUUGUUUUACGUUUCACUGAUUGCAGGCUCCAUGCACUACUAUUUAUUCUGAAAGGCAACUAUUGUAUCAGUCAUUUCCCUCCUGUCUGAAAUUAUCCUGAGAAUCCAUAAGGAAAUCUGAACAAACUAUUGUGGCUUUCAGAAGACUGUAAUUAUAAUAAAGACUCUUAAGCAUUUUCAGACUCCUGAAAUCUGAAAAAGGGGUAAAAUGCUUGUAGCAUGAUACAAAUCUGUUCUGUUUGGAGAGGCUGCACUGGUCAUUAGUGGGAUUCACUCCCAUGGUUGUUUUUAAAGACAAACAUUGUUCCCGAUAAAUAUGGAUAUCCUUUGCUGUGAAGAGACUUGAUACCAAGUUCAGGGGAUCUUGCUAGGAUUUCAGGAUCAAACUGGAACAUGGAGUACUAGCUCUCUCAGGCACUUUUGAAUAUUCCACUUUGUCUCAUCAAGGAUUCCUUGGAAUUACAGGCUGUUCUUACUACACAUCCAAGCAAGGAAGGGGGGGGAAGGACUUGAGAAAAUAAGCCAGACGUGGGUAUACAAAAUGUCAAAGGCAUUUAAGGUGGUCAACAAAUAGGACUUUGUCUUGUUCUGUUAACAUUUCCCUUUACAAAGACUGGUCUCUGUGUUAUGACUGCCUUGUGAAAACUGUGUCAAAGAGCCUCCUUACACUGGCUGCUCCACAUGGCAGUUGUAACAUGUAGAGUGACUUCCCAUGUGGGCAACUGCUAGCCCAUUAAAAUGUCUGGCAGUGCUAUGGAUGCAAUCUAUAUGUUGAGACAUUCCACACACUGCUGUAUGAAUCAGCUGCCAUGAGGAUGUUUCAGGCUACGUAGGAUAGACUCGAAUCUAAAGAAGGAUUUGUCAUCUGCAUUACUUUGUAGUUUUAUACAGUGGUGCCUCGCAAGACGAAAUUAAUCCGUUCCGCGAGAGUCUUCGUCUAGCGGUUUUUUCGUCUUGCGAAGCAACCCUAUUAGCGGCUUAACGGAUUAGCGCUAUUAGCGGUUUAGCGGCUAUUAAAGGCUUAAAGGCUUAGGGGAUUAGCUGCUAAAAGGCUAUUAAAGGCUAUUAAAGGCUUAGCAGAUUAGAUAAAGGGGGAGAAAGCGAAAAAAAUCUCUAGACUCGCAAGACAUUUUCGUCUUGCGAAGCAAGCCCAUAGGGAAAUUCGUCCUGCGAAGCAACUCAAAAACGGAAAACCCUUUCGUCUAGCGGGUUUUCCGUCUUGCGAGGCAUUCGUCUUGCGGGGCACCACUGUAUUCAGCAUGUGCAGAAACCAACUGCCAUGAACAACAGAUUUGUGUUUACUUAAUUGGCACUGUGGCAAAACCCUUGGAGUAAGUGAAAUACUCCUAUAGUAAGGAUGUGGGGAUGAAAAAAAAAGGAUUGUCAUAGUCUGGUAAGGCAUCUUUCAGUGCAUCUUUUGCAUUGCAAACUAAAACAUAAAGUCAUCUGGAGGUAGAGGGUGUCACCUCCACAGGAGAUUUCCUUAUGGCCCUUCCCUUGCGUAAGAAUGCGCAAUAGUCUGCGCAUGCAGAAUGGGAGUCAAGGUAUUGUUGUUCCAUGUGCUGGAUGGCCAGGGAAGGCUGUGCCAAGUACCAGGAUUAUCUCGUCUACUGUUGAUGAGGUGUUACACAGUGCUUACUUUUCAUCUGUUACUUUUUUUAAAAAAAGCCUUCAUUUCAUUUUGCUUUUGCAAGAGUGGCCAUGCUACAAAUUACAAAAACAACAGUGGGGGAAUUAUACAUACAUAGAAGACAAAACACCAUGUUACUAUCACCAUUGCAUUAAUAUGUGCAUAAUAUCUGUGCGUAAGGCUCAAGCCACGGCAACAUUGUGGUGUGCUUUUUUUUUUUGGCAAUGGAGUCAAGCAGAUCCACAAUAGUGAUAAACACAACCAACAUUUCCAUAAUCAACCGAAAGGGCUAUUAACCGAGCAUGCCUGGAUAGGAAGGGGGCCUGAGAGCUAUAGCUCUUAGAUGUGUAUCUAUCCAGAACCUUUCAAAGACUUGUUUUGUGAUUUCUGCGGCAUUCUCUUUAUUACCUUCACGUCUGGCCAUCGUGCAAAGCUUAUCAACUAUACUCUGUUAUUAUUCCCUGUGUUUAGGUUCGGAAUAAUUUUUCCCCAAUUUUCUUUUUUACAACUGUAAAAAAAAAUCCAUAGUAAAAAUAACUCAC